AAGCCGGUGAGACUGGGAGAGAAAGUCAGGAUCCCAGCCGGCUCCUCAAACACAGGAUGCAAGCGAGCGCCCUUUGGAGAAGGCGCGCUCAGCGAAACGCUAACUCCACUGAAAUGUUCCAAGGACACCUGAAGAAAGACUGCAGCAGAGGAGUUCUCUCUCUCCCUCUCUGGCUCUCUCUAGCAGGUUCCCCCACCUCCUGCACUAGGGGUUCUUGUCGCUAUCUUCUUAAGUACAUGGGAAGUUUACCUGAGGAUAAAAUCUCAUGGGCACACCCAGCACCCAGGUUCUGAUGAUACCAAAAGCAUGUCCAAGACAAGGAGCAUCAGGAAGAUGAGGAGGACCCUCCAAAGAAGAGGCAGAGUCUCUGAUCCCAGAAUUCCGUGGAGUAUAGACACUGCAGUGUUCUUCCUUCCAAGCCCCACUGGACUUCAACACACACACACAAGCUAACCCCGCGUGGGAGACUCGGGUGGUGAGCAUAGACACUGGGACCCCCGCCCCAUGCGUCAGCACCCCUAGGCCAUCGCCAGGCCCCAGUGUCCCGUAUCCUGUGGUUCUCCACCAGUGAUGCUUCGCUCAAGAAUCACCACGCUUCACAGAUCCUGAAUAGCUGCAUCUCCUGAGCCCUGCAAAGCUGUCAGUAAAAGUCGCCCAUCCCAUUCACAAGGGCGGAAACUGAGGCACAGAGAAAUGAAACCAGAGCCGAGAGUCACAGAGGCCUAAACGACAAGGUCAGGAAUUAAAUGGAGGCCUCUUGCGACCUUGCUUCUGUGCUGGCUUACCUCUUUCUCACUAUGGCAGUCAAAGGCUUACCCCAGACAAGCCACUGGUCAGAGGCUUCCCACAUAUUAACGUCAAAAUCAGGGAGGUAAUUGUUGUUAUUCUCAUUUUGUAGACAAAGAAACUGCAUCAUAGAAACACUGAGUAACUUGCUCAUGGUCAUAGGAGCUAGAAAGGGCCGGCUCAGGAUCUGAACCAUACUGUCUUUCCCGCUCGGCUGUGUUGUAUCACACUCAUUUGUGAAAGGAGGGGGAAGUUGUGCGUGAGCAGUGUCCUGCGUGAGUAUGUGCGCAUGGCUG